CCAGCACUUCGAAGAUGGUGGGCAUGCUCAGUCCUGCCACCCCAAGAGGGACGUGGGACGUCAAAAUUGCCCUUUUCGAGCGUGCGUGAAAAGCUGCCGCUCGCUGGGCACAAGUUGUCUUCGAGGAAGUUUCCACUCCUGGUUGUCUGUGGUAGAACUUGUGCAAAUAGAAAACAAAGCACCAAGGAAGAGUGAGUGUGCGUGACGGAACAUACACAAGGUCAGAAGAAACUUCGAGAACCAUCAGAGCUGCAGCCCAUGAGUUCACCUGAGAAGGGCUGAGCCUUCCUGCAAAUCAGCUGAGGAAUGAGAUGCCACUGGAUUUAGAUGAGGAGCUCCUUGGAGACAGAGACUCACUCCCUGCUUGUCCAGGAUCAGUUUAUCAACACAAAAUUAAUUUUCUCUACACCUGUUCAUUUCAUGGGGAGACUGAGAAUAAGAAGAUAAUCUCUGUAGACUUCCAAAGGGAACUGUGCCUUCAUCAUUCCACAUGACCCUGAUGGCUGUGCCCUCCUCAGCCAGUGAGAGAACUAGUGACUCCUGGUAAUUUAAAAAUAAAUACUUCUGCAAGUGAACCAAUAGAAAUAUUUCACUGUCAUUGAACAGAAAGCUAAAAGCCUAAUUACUGGAUGUAUUGAACGUUCUUCUGUGGUAGUAAUUUCUUCACUCUUUCAAUAUCUUUAUUUUCUUUAUUUAACAUCCACAAUUUUUCCCUUUAUAUGCUGG
rnacentral:lncRNA from 1 species